rnacentral:rRNA from 1 species
UACGGAGGGUGCAAGCGUUAAUCGGAAUUACUGGGCGUAAAGCGUGCGCAGGCGGCUUGUUAAGUCUGCUGUGAAAUCCCCGAGCUCAACCUGGGAAUUGCAGUGGAUACUGGCAGGCUGGAGUAUGGUAGAGGAAGGUGGAAUUCCCGGUGUAGCAGUGAAAUGCGUAGAGAUCGGGAGGAACACCAGUGGCGAAGGCGGCCUUCUGGACCAAUACUGACGCUCAUGCACGAAAGCGUGGGGAGCAAACAGG